rnacentral:rRNA from 1 species
AUUGAACGCUGGCGGCAUGCCUUACACAUGCAAGUCGAACGGUAACAGGUCUUCGGAUGCUGACGAGUGGCGAACGGGUGAGUAAUACAUCGGAACGUGCCCGAUCGUGGGGGAUAACGAAGCGAAAGCUUUGUUAAUACCGCAUAAGAUCUACGGAUGAAAGCAGGGGACCGCAAGGCCUUGUGCGAACGGAGCGGCCGAUGGCAGAUUAGGUAGUUGGUGGGAUAAAAGCUUACCAAGCCGACGAUCCGUAGCUGGUCUGAGAGGACGACCAGCCACACUGGGACUGAGACACGGCCCAGACUCCUACGGGAGGCAGCAGUGGGGAAUUUUGGACAAUGGGCGAAAGCCGGAUCCAGCCAUGCCGCGUGCAGGAUGAAGGCCUUCGGGUUGUAAACUGCUUUUGUACGGAACGAAAAGACUCUUUCUAAUAAAGAGGGUCCAUGACGGUACCGUAAGAAUAAGCACCGGCUAACUACGUGCCAGCCGCCGCCGUAAAAC